rnacentral:lncRNA from 1 species
UUAGUAACCACACAAUUUGAGGAUUUUCGAAAAUGAAUCCAAAUAUCAAAUGAAAUAUAAUAAACAAAAGAAAUAAUAAAAGGUACGUAGUUGUGCAUAUUCCAUAGUAAUAUAUUUUGAUGACAAGAUUAAUCCAUCCAAUAUCCAAGAGGGUGUUCAAUAUUAUUGAUAGAAGGGAGGAUGGUACGAGGAUCUAUACAUCAUCUUGAUUAACCUUAAUAUACAACAUGGCUGAUGAUGAUGGUUGCUUUUUCAUACUUCCCAACAGCCGCGUCAUCUUGUUCAAACCUUUGUAUACAUCAUUUCCAUUAACUUUGAAUAAUCAAAGCCACGCCUGAUGAUGGUUGCUUUAGCCUCAACAGACAAAGUUUGCUUUACAUAUUCAAGCUUAGAUUCAUGAGCAGCGUCAUCUUGUUCUGAAAAAGCAUCAUAUAUGUGAGUGACUAAACAACAAUCAUCAGGUAAAUUGAACAUUUCAAAUUCUCAGAAUGAAUUCUAAAAAUAUAAAUUAAUAAAGAAUUCAAAUAUUGUGAAACUUGAAUCAAAAGCAGUUGAACUUGCCUCGUAUGAUUCUUCGCCGAAACAUAUUCUUUUACUUUGAGCUGACUUAUCUAAAGUUAAUAGAUCAAACAUCAUCAUAAUAAAACAAUACAAGAAAAAAGAAUUGCAUUUACAUAAUAAAACGUGAAAGAAAAAAGAAUUGCAUAUUCACAUGGUUAUAAAAUCUAAAUCUAAAUCACCAUCAUAAUAAAACAAUACAAGAAAAAAGAAUUGAAUUUACAUAAUAAAACAUGAAAGAAAAAGAAUUGCAUAUUCACAUGGUUAUAAAAUCUAAAUCUAAAUAAUCAUCAUCAUAAUGGUAGAUAAUUAAUACAAUAUUCAGCAAUGUAACGUAAAAACCGUACCAAACAAAUAAAUUACUAAGAAUGACUUUUACAAACAAAACUAAAGAAUAAAAAUAAAAGAGGAAAUUAGGGUUUUACACAUUUGCGAUGUCGUGCAGUGUAGAGAAAAAGAGAAGGGAAUCUGAAAAGAAAUAUAAAGAAGAUUAGAUAACUAACACAAGUAUGUGAAGAAGAAAACUAACCAGAGAAGAUAUCGGAAAAUCGUACGAAUCAAGAAUGUG